CCUCGCCUCUGCUCUCUCCUUGCUGGCAGAAGCAGUCCYGGGCACGGUGGGUUUUAUUUGAGGGUGGAUAUUUUUUUACCAGAGGAAGAAGGGACAUUUCCUUUGCUCACUAGCACUGAAGGAAAGUGCCUGCUCCUGACCUUGCUGCAGGUGCCUGUUGAAGCUUCUUUGUGUCUGUUUCUAACUUUUGCACAGGUCUUAGGAAAGCAAAUAAAAGAAAURUUGAAAAUCUGGAAUUUCAGUCCCCCAGUGAACUGCCCUGGAGUCCAUCUACUGAGGUAUUAUGUGACCAGGAGCCACAGCUAGUUCUUCAUCCAGACUUGAAGGCUACUGGAAGCCUGAAGGUGACUGGACCCCAGGUGAGGAGCCGCUAUCCACUGCCAUCGUGGGACCGGCUGUCCCAGGACCUGUACACGGACAACAGCAUCCAAGAAGCCUUUGAUCAGCUGCGGGCUUUGCUGGAGGAACCCCCUCUCUCGCAGCAGCAUCCUGC
rnacentral:lncRNA from 1 species